GAUGAACGCUGGCGGCGUGCCUAAUACAUGCAAGUCGAGCGAACAGACGAGGAGCUUGCUCCUCUGACGUUAGCGGCGGACGGGUGAGUAACACGUGGAUAACCUACCUAUAAUACUGGGAUAACUUCGGGAAACCGGCGCUAAUACCGGAUAAUAUAUUGAACCGCAUGGUUCAAUAGUGAAAUACGGUUUUGCUGUCACUUAUAGCUGGAUCCGCGCCGCAUUAGCUAGUUGGUAAGGUAACGGCUUACCAAGGCAACGAUGCGUAGCCGACCUGAGAGGGUGAUCGGCCACACUGGAACUGAGACACGGUCCAGACUCCUACGGGAGGCAGCAGUAGGGAAUCUUCCGCAAUGGGCGAAAGCCUGACGGAGCAACGCCGCGUGAAUGAUGAAGGUCUUCGGAUCGUAAAACUCUGUUAUUAGGGAAGAACAAAUGUGUAAGUAACUAUGCACGUCUUGACGGUACCUAAUCAGAAAGCCACGGCUAACUACGUG
rnacentral:rRNA from 1 species